AGGACGAACGCUGGCGGCGUGCUUAACACAUGCAAGUCGAGCGGAAAGGCCCUUCGGGGUACUCGAGCGGCGAACGGGUGAGUAACACGUGAGCAACCUGCCCUUAGCUCUGGGAUAGCUCCGGGAAACCGGAAUUAAUACCGGAUAUGACCUAGGCCGACAUCGGCCGUGGUGGAAAGUUUUUCGGCUAGGGAUGGACUCGCGGCCUAUCAGCUAGUUGGUGGGGUAAUGGCCUACCAAGGCGACGACGGGUAGCCGGCCUGAGAGGGCGACCGGCCACACUGGGACUGAGACACGGCCCAGACUCCUACGGGAGGCAGCAGUGGGGAAUCUUGCGCAAUGGGCGAAAGCCUGACGCAGCGACGCCGCGUGGGGGAUGAAGGCCUUCGGGUUGUAAACCCCUUUCAGCAGGGACGAAGCGAAGUGACGGUACCUGCAGAAGAACGCGCCGGCUAACUACGCGCCAGCAGCCGC
rnacentral:rRNA from 1 species